GACGAACGCUGGCGGCGUGCUUAACACAUGCAAGUCGAACGGAAAGGCCCCUUUGGGGGUACUCGAGUGGCGAACGGGUGAGUAACACGUGAGUAACCUGCCCUUGACUUCGGGAUAACUUCAGGAAACUGGGGCUAAUACCGGAUAGGAAUCCUUGCUGCAGGGUGGGGGUUGGAAAGCUUCGGCGGUUUUGGAUGGACUCGCGGCUUAUCAGCUUGUUGGUGGGGUAGUGGCUUACCAAGGCUUUGACGGGUAGCCGGCCUGAGAGGGCGACCGGCCACAUUGGGACUGAGAUACGGCCCAGACUCCUACGGGAGGCAGCAGGGGGGAAUAUUGCACAAUGGGCGGAAGCCUGAUGCAGCAACGCCGCGUGCGGGAUGACGGCCUUCGGGUUGUAAACCGCUUUCAGCAGGGGCGAAGCUUGUGGUGACGGUACCUGCAGAAGAAGCACCGGCUAACUACGUG
rnacentral:rRNA from 1 species